CAGGGCUGUUUCCCUCCAUCCAUCUAAAGCAGAUCACAAACUAAUUUAGGUCAGAAAGGGACUUCUGGAGGCCUCUCGCCCCACUUCCAUGUUAAAGCUGGGCCAGUUUCGAGAUUUAGAUCAGAGUGCUGCAGUCCUCGUCCCAUCCACUUCUGAAAACCUCCACAAUGGAGAAGUCACAGGCUCUUUGGGACAAGUUCCAGUCAUGCCCUACUGCUGUAAGAACUCCAUAAAGAGAGCAUCGCACAGCAAGGCAGUGGAGAAGUCGGCUCCAAAAUCAAGAGGUGCCAAUUGAACAGCAGCUUUUGAGAAGCCCUGGAGAUCCAUUGACCUCAGUGUGGGUGCCUGUGUGUCAUCCGCAGCCCAAGGAAACUGCAGAAGUCUGGAGAACCUGUGCACUCGAAGUCCCAUGAGAGAAAAGGAUGGGGCAGCCUCCUGGGGUAAGGGCCCCAUCUUCAGUAAGGGCCCCACAACUGGUGGGAAGCACUCAGCUGCUCUCCUCCUGCUUCAUCACAGCAAUAGGAGCACAACCCUGGUGUCCCAGCACACAUCUCCUUUGCAGAGCUCAGUGAGGCAGUGGUGGGAGCUCGUCUUGUGGCAAGACAUCUCAGGGGAAUACAGUGGUGUCAUGCUCCCAGGCUGCCAGCUCCAUAAUGAAACCACUUUUCAGGUGGUUGAAAACUCUCUGAGUGAGGAUCCUUCAACAAGAGGGGUAAGCCAGUGCACAUAUUGGCACUGGUAGCACUCUGGUGCUGAUGGUACCAGCCAUUGUCAUGAUGUGUGUCUCUAGGGAUGGAUGUCAUGCUCCAGACCAACUGGAAUCUACACCAUGCACCUAAAAUAGCUAGUUUUG